AUUUGCUUUUGAUUUGAUAUCUCGGAUAAAAUAUCUGCAAGAUCUUAAAUAAUGUUGUUUAUUGCACCAAAAACAAAUAACUUUAGGAGUUAUAUUCUGCCCUAUAUUAUCAACUGCCCUAUAUUUAGUUGAAUAAAUUGGGAGGGGCUCAGCUGUCUGUAUCACUCUACACUCUGUCCUAGAAGAAGAAGAAGAAGAAGAAGAAGGAGGAGGGGGACGGGGGCUGUAACAUCUGCACUUCUUUCUCUGCCUAAAGCCACAAGUCGUUUUAACCCCUUCAUUCUUGGUUUCCCUCCUUAAGUUAUCCAAGAACAAAGCUACUUCUGUCAAAGUGCUUUUUUCUCUAGCUACCACAAUUGCAGUUGGAUCUAGAUCUUGAAAUUUUUUCACAAAUUCAUUAAUUAACUGAUCUUCAGAAAAAUCAGCAACAAGUCUAUAUGCAUUUUCAAAUUUUACAAGAAAACUAAAUAUAUCCUCCCCCUUGAGUGGUUUUAGUUUUUCCAACAUUUCAGUGUCUGCAAAAUCAUUCCCUGUUGUUAAUUUUAUUAAUUGUGUUAAUCUGUCUCGCUUAUUUCCAUAUAUUAUUUUAUCAUUGUCCUGAAAUUUUACAAGCGUGGUCAGUCUACAUGCCAUUUGAGUCGGCAGCCAUAUUUUAAACAAUCUAUUCCUUUGUUCGUCAUUUAGGCUGUAUUUGUCCACAUUUGACUCAAACAUUCCAGCAUUAGUAAAUGCAUCCACUGACGUGUCAUAAACUGGAAUACAUUUCACAAUUUUCAUUAAUUGUUCAUGUAUUUUCAAAUUAAGUUUUGCAGCUCUGUCUUGAAAUUUAUAUUUCUGCAAAUCACUCUGUGAGGAUACAUUUUCAGUAUCUAUUGGUUCUGGGAUUAGAUUCUGUGUCUGUAUUUUUCUUGUAUUAACACACACUUGCUUAACUUCAUUUCUAAGCUGGCAAAUAAGAUCAUUUCUUAGUUCAACUCUAUCCUCUAAUUCACAAACUGUUUCUGACAAUGUGCUCUCUGUUACAUUGUUACACUGUUCAUUUAAAUCUGAUUUGUCUUCUGUUAACCCAUUCAAAUCUACUUCUUUUUCUGCUGAUUCUAAAUUUUCUUUACCUGUAUUUCGUUUACAAAUCAAUGCAUUGUAAGUACAGACUAGUUUCAUAACAUUUCUGAUCUUUUUUUUUUUUUUUUUCUUAUUAACAAACAAUUUCUUGUCAAUUUCACUAUUGGCAAUUUCACAUUGUGUGUAUAAAGAUUGCCACAAAACAGCAUCUGAAUAGCUGCUAUUAAAUGCAAACUGCAAUUUACUUUUCUCUGCGAUAUUCAUUUAUAAAUUCCACAAUUCAUUUGUUCCAACAAAAUCUAACUUUCCUUAUUCCAACAUGCCAAUAACCUCUUGCUUAACAACAUAUACAAGAUUACACAAAGUUCCUAACUAGGUUAUUCGUCCAGCAAAUAUACCUUGUUUCCCUCACAUUCCUCACUGAGUUUACAAGCAUUUCACCCAUUCACCCCACCCCCCUGUAGCCAAUACUCAUAGCAGUCAGAGCAAGAGAAAGCAACAAAG
rnacentral:lncRNA from 1 species